GCACCUGUAGCUCAGCUGGAUAGAGCGCCGGCCUCCGGAGCCGUAGGUCGCAGGUUCGAAUCCUGCCAGGUGCGCCA
rnacentral:tRNA from 1 species